GGUUUCAUAGCUCAACCGGAUAGAGCAACGGUUUUCUAAACCGUAGGUUCCAGGUUCGAGUCCUGGUGAGACCA
rnacentral:tRNA from 1 species